rnacentral:lncRNA from 1 species
CUUACCUCUAGCAGUGUAGUAUUGAUAGAAUCAAGGGAACUUACUUAAAAAGAAAUCAGAUUCCAGGGUUCCAACCCCAGAAAUUCUAAUUCUAGAAGUCUGACUAUGUCCCAUGAAUUUGCACUCUAAGCAGACUUCCUAGGUAGCUCUGAAACAGGUGGUCUGUAGACCACACUUUAAGAAUUAUCUUCAAGGAUUGGGCUAGUUUUAGUUUGUAGUGAUUUCUUGUGUCUCUUAAUGAAGGCCUAGACAAUAUAGUCUGGAUUGAUUGGAUAAACACAGAGGAACAAGAGAGCGGCAGAAUUGUACCAUGCAUGCAGCAGGCCAUGCUCUACACGGGCCUCUCAGGAUGCAGCAGAGAGAUAUACAGGCUUUUUGGAAUACUGAUGUGAGUGUAGAGGCCAGAAAAAUGAAGCUAGGUGGUAUUGGAGGAGAAUCUCUGAAGACUGCUCUCAGUAGGCUGACAACAAGUUAAGAUGAAUGUGUAACUGUUUUCUACAUUCUUCUUACUGCUAUAAAAAUAAUUGAAAUGCAGAAUGCUUAACUUCAUUCAGCUGUAAGCCUUGUAAGAACAUCAAUAAAAAUUUAAAAAUUC